UCAAGGUGUAUAUCGCCAUUGCCGCGGUUAAAAAGCUCGUAGUUGGAUCUGCGCCUUCGGACUCGGUCCGCCCAACGGGUGUGAACUGGGAUCCAAGGCUUAUACUGCUGGUUUUCCCUUGAUGCUCUUUACUGGGUGUCUUGGGUGGCUAGCGAGUUUACUUUGAAAAAAUUAGAGUGCUUAACACAGGCUAACGCCUGAAUACUUGUGCAUGGAAUAAUAGAAUAAGACCACGGUUCUAUUUUAUUGGUUUUCGGAACUGUGAUAAUGGUUAAGAGGGACAGACGGGGGCAUUCGUAUCGCUGCGUGAGAGGUGAAAUUCUUGGACCGCAGCGAGACGCCCUACUGCGAAAGCAUUUGCCAAGAAUGUCUUCGUUAA
rnacentral:rRNA from 1 species